rnacentral:rRNA from 1 species
GCACAAGCAGUGGAGUAUGUGGUUUAAUUCGACGCAACGCGAAGAACCUUACCAAGUCUUGACAUCCUGCGACGCACAUAGAAAUAUGUGUUUCCUUCGGGACGCAGAGACAGGUGGUGCAUGGUUGUCGUCAGCUCGUGUCGUGAGAUGUUGGGUUAAGUCCCGCAACGAGCGCAACCCUUAUGGUCAGUUACUACGCAAGAGGACUCUGGCCAGACUGCCGUUGAUAAAA